rnacentral:lncRNA from 1 species
GCUCUUAACUAUGUCAACGGUUGUAGUAAUCAAGCCCCUUUCUUUCCAGAGUAUUUAAACUAUCUCAUUAAGUAUACUUUUAGAGGAUAUAAUGACAUCCCUCCACAUAAUCAAGGAGAAUGUCUUGCAUUUAUACCCUUUCUUAUUAGACUCCAGAGUUUUAGAAGUUUGGUCACUGGGAUAAUUAGGCCGCCAGUGCUCCUCAACCCCCUUUGCCUACCUGUCAAUUCUAAUGUCUGGAGAAAGAUAAUUUGCCAAAUUGAGAAAGCUGUUGUGAGGCUGGAAGGAAGUGUAGAACAAGAGCGGAGCUCCUUUUUACCCACCUCCCUCCUUUCCUGGUGCGUAUUUCAGACCCAGUGCUUUGGAGACUGUGUAUCAGGUUGUGUGCUGUCCAGAUGGAUGUGAACAAGGUACAUAAAUGCAUAUGAUGUUCGUAUGUCAUUGGAGAACUAAUGGCCGUCUUUCAGGAUACUUCACUGUCUUUAUAUUUAGCAUCUACACUAAAAUUUUAUUGUUAAUUUUGUGUAGCAGCAGCUCAAUUCUUGUUUAUACACUGUAAAACUUAGGAGCCAUUGGGUUGUUUGUCAUCCAUGAAGCUCAUUUCACAUCUCAUCUUUUAUAUGAAUAAAAGGUGAAAAUAAUUAUGUUCCUUUUAAUGA